GCCGGGCAUGGUGGCGCAUGCCUGUAAUCCCAGCUACCCCGGGAGGCUGAGGCAGAAGAAUCACUUGAACCUGGGAGGUGGAGGUUGCAGUGAGCCGAGAUCACGCCACUGCACUCCAGCCUGGGCAACAAGAGUGAAAUUCUGUCUCAA
ensembl:misc_RNA Metazoa_SRP Metazoan signal recognition particle RNA